rnacentral:rRNA from 1 species
UACGUAGGGGGCAAGCGUUUGUCCGGAAUCACUUGGGCGUAAAGCGCGCGCAGGCGGCUGUCUACGUCCGGGGGUGAAAGCCCAGAGCUCAACUCUGGGACUGCCUUGGAUACGGGGAUGGCUUUGAGGAUCGGAGAGGCAAGGGGAAUUUCCACGUGUAGCGGUGAAAUGCGUAGAGAUGUGGAGGAACACCUGUGGCGAAGGCGCCUUGCUGGCCGAUUUCUGACGCUGAGGCGCGAAAGCGUGGGGAGCAAACAGG